rnacentral:lncRNA from 1 species
CCUUUGUAAAAAAAAUGUACUAGAUCAGCCUUGUCAAGCCCAUGGUGCGGGCACUUGACCAAAAGAUCAUGGAAUCUUUUCCAAAGUUGGAAAAAUUCCUCAGAUUUUCCUCUAAAAGUUCUGAUGGCAUCCUUAAUUUUUUCAGUUUUUACCAUGGGAUAGAACUUAGCCAUGAACUUCCUAGACAACUGUUCCCAUGAUGUGAUGGAAUUUGAAGCAAGGAAAUACAGCCAUGCAGUAGCACGAUCUUCUAAAGUCAUGGGAAACAAUCUUAAUUUAAUACCCUCUUCAUCUAAGUUUUGAUUUCUAAAUGUUUGACAGAUUGUCA